CAGUCGCCGCGGGAAAACGGAGGGUGCAAACGUUAAUCGGAAUUACUGGGCGUAGAGCGUGCGUAGGCGGUUCGUUAAGUCUGUUGUGAAAGCCCCGGGCUCAACCUGGGAAUGGCAAUGGAUACUGGCGAGCUAGAGUGUGUCAGAGGAUGGUGGAAUUCCCGGUGUAGCGGUGAAAUUCGUAGAUAUUGGGAAGAACACCGGUGGCGAAGGCGGCGACCUGGUCCAUAACUGACGCUGAGGCGCGAAAGCGUGGGGAGCGAACAGGAUUAGAUACCCGUGUAGUCCCUGUCUCUUAUAC
rnacentral:rRNA from 1 species